rnacentral:lncRNA from 1 species
AAGCAGCUGAGCACUACGCUUAAGCCCAGACAAAUACCAAAAUACCAUAGGGGGGGUGAGUGUAGUGGGUGUGUGUCAGGGAGGGAUCUAUCUUCUGGGACCACUCCUGGUACCAAUUCCUUAUCAGUCAGGGUCCUAGUAGGAGACAGAAACUACAUAGGAAUUUCAUCAGGGAAGGUUAAUGUAAAGAACUAUUUACAGAGAGAAUAUACUAAUGGAUAAGGAAUACCCUGAAGCUGAGGAAGAGUAGCCAGGGAAGGAAUAAACUUGGAAGAGCAGCCCCUUCCCCAGGCUGGAGUUCACAUCUCCUUCCUGAGGACCAGGCUGCAGCCCACAGGAUGGAGAAGCGCCCUAGGUGCAGGGGCCAGAGCUGGCCCAAAGUGGGUGAGCCGACGGUACUGAGCAGAAAGCCUCCCGUGGGGUGCCACAGGCAGAGCAAUGGGCUGAGGACUGGCAAUAAAACUUGCUAGAGGCUUUUGUUUCCAAGUGCCUAUUAGUGACUGUGUACAUGAGGCACGACAGAGCUAAGCGAUACUUGAGAGACAACGGGUCCACUGAGAACGAAAUGCAGUUGGAGGCCGUGCAGUUCAAGUCCCGAGCAGCAUUCCCAUGCACAGCCCUCCCUGGGGAAUGCGGCCAGUCCCCGCAGACUCGGCUCCCCUCUCCAGAAUCAUCAGGUCAAGUCAUGGCUUUGUCACACUGUGGGAGCCUGAAGGAGCUGCAAGGCCACUGCUGACGGGAGCCUCAGUCCAAGCUCAUCACUGCGG